rnacentral:rRNA from 1 species
GGGAGGUCCGCCUGCCCAAUGAUACAUUGAAUGGCCGCGGUACUCUUACCGUGCGAAGGUAGCAUAAUCACUUGUUCAUUAAAUAUGGACUAGUAUGAACGGCAUCACGAGGGUCAUACUGUCUCCCUACUCCAAUCAAUGAAACUAUUCUUCCCGUGAAGAAACGGGAAUUAAACUAUAAGACGAGAAGACCCCAUGGAGCUUUAAACCCAGGACAUCUMCCAACCCCCCCCCCAUUUUUACCUAACUAUAGUAUUCAUGUUUUCUGGUUUUUGGUUGGGGCGACCGCGGAGCAAAAAAAAUCCUCCACGAUGAACAAGCUUUACUUUUACCCAUGAAGCACACUUCUAAGGACCCUUAAUAUGACAUUUCUUGACCCAAGCCUAUUUGAUCAACGAACCUAGUUACCCUGGGGAUAACAGCGCAAUCCAUUUCAAGAGCCCAUAUCGACAAAUGGGUUUACGACCUCGAUGUUGGAUCAGGGUAUCCCAGUGGUGCACCCGCUACUAAAGGUUUGUUUGUCAACAAUUA